CCUGUGUGCUGUUUUUUAAGGAACCACUGCUUAUUAAUUGUUUUACCAGUUCUGGCACAGUCCUGGAAAGAGACUCAAGGCUGCAAGCCCUUCCAAAAAUCAAUGAUCCUGGAACCUCUGGAGGAAUUUGUAAAUUUGAAGGGAAAGUCUUUUUCCAUGUCCUGUAAUGUGACUGUGGGAUGCAAACACCAAAGAAAACACUGAACAGCUAUGAUGGGUAGCUACGAACAAGAGCCUCAUAGGAGCUGAACAGGGAGGGAUGGAGACAUAAACUAGACGGG
rnacentral:lncRNA from 1 species